UUUGCUACACUUUAAUGAAUAUUUUAUUUUUGUAGAGCUUUGGGUGAAUAUAAUAAGUCGCGAAGAUUAAGAAAGAACAAGCCCACAUGGAGCAUUCCCAUUUGUCAAAGACAACCUAAAGGUUAUGAGUGUGGUUACUACAUUAUGAUACAUAUGUUGAACAUUGUAUCUAGUGGUCUUGUUGAUUCAUGGAUGCGGAUAUUUGGAGAAUCAAAACCAUUCGAAGAUGAAGAAAUGAUGAAUGUCCGACAACGUUGUGCAAACUUGAUUCUUGAACUAAUAGAAAAUGCUUGAAGCACUUGUAUCAUUUUAG